rnacentral:rRNA from 1 species
UACGUAGGUGGCGAGCGUUGUCCGGAUUUACUGGGCGUAAAGGGAGCGUAGGCGGACUUUUAAGUGAGAUGUGAAAUACUCGGGCUCAACUUGAGUGCUGCAUUUCAAACUGGAAGUCUAGAGUGCAGGAGAGGAGAAUGGAAUUCCUAGUGUAGCGGUGAAAUGCGUAGAGAUUAGGAAGAACACCAGUGGCGAAGGCGAUUCUCUGGACUGUAACUGACGCUGAGGCUCGAAAGCGUGGGGAUCAAACAGG